rnacentral:rRNA from 1 species
UACGAAGGGGGCUAGCGUUGUUCGGAAUUACUGGGCGUAAAGCGCGCGUAGGCGGACAUUUAAGUCAGGGGUGAAAUCCCAGGGCUCAACCCUGGAACUGCCUUUGAUACUGGAUGUCUGGAGUUCGGGAGAGGUGAGUGGAAUUCCGAGUGUAGAGGUGAAAUUCGUAGAUAUUCGGAGGAACACCAGUGGCGAAGGCGGCUCACUGGUCCGGUACUGACGCUGAGGUGCGAAAGCGUGGGGAGCAAACAGG